rnacentral:rRNA from 1 species
AGGGCACCACCAGGAGUGGAGCCUGCGACUUAAUUAGACUCAACACGGGAAAACUUACCCGAUCCGGACACUUUAAGGAUGGACAGGUUGAGAGCCCUUUCUUGAUUUGGUGGGUGGUGGUGCAUGGCCGUUCUUAGUUGGUGGAGCGAUUUGUCUGGUUAAUUCCGAUAACGAACGAGACUCUAGCCUGCUAAAUAGCCAACCGAUCCGCAGCGUCGGUUGCAAAACCUUCUUAGAGGGACAGGCGGCUUCCAGUCGCACGAGAUUGAGCAAUAACAGGUCUGUGAUGCCCUUAGAUGUCCGGGGCCGCACGCGCGCUACACUGAAGGAAUCAACGUGCUUUCUACCUUGGCCGGAAGGCCUGGGGAAUCCGAUGAAACUCCUUCGUGAUUGGGAUUGAGCUUUGUAACUAUCGCUCAUGAACGAGAAAUUCCCAGUAAGCGCGAGUCAUAAGCUCGCGUUGAUUACGUCCCUGCCAUUUGUACACACCGCCCGUCGCUACUACCGAUCGAAUGAUUU